UACGUAGGGGGCAAGCGUUGUCCGGAAUCAUUGGGCGUAAAGCGCGUGUAGGCGGCUCGAUAAGUCUGCUGUGAAAGUCCAGGGCUCAACCCUGGGAUGCCGGUGGAUACUGUCGAGCUCGAGUCCGGAAGAGGCGAGUGGAAUUCCUGGUGUAGCGGUGGAAUGCGCAGAUAUCAGGAGGAACACCAAUGGCGAAGGCAGCUCGCUGGGACGGUACUGACGCUGAGGUGCGAAAGCGUGGGGAGCAACAGG
rnacentral:rRNA from 1 species